rnacentral:rRNA from 1 species
AAAAACAUGUCCUUUUGAUCUUAAUUUAAGGUCUAACCUGCUCAAUGAAUUUUAAAUAGCCGCAGUAUUUUAACUGUGCAAAGGUAGCAUAAUCAUUAGUUUUUUAAUUGAAAGCUGGAAUGAAAGGUUGAAUGAGAAAAUAGCUGUCUCUAUAAAAAUUGUAUAGAAUUUUAUUUUUAAGUUAAAAAGCUUAAAUUUAAAUAAAAGACGAGAAGACCCUAUAGAGUUUUAUAUUCAAAAAAAAAUAAUUUUUUCUUUAGUAUUUUAAAAAAAUUUUAUUUUUUUUAUAAUAUUUGGUUGGGGUGAUCGGAAAAUUAAUUAAACUUUUCUUUUAUUAUAAACAUUUAUUUAUGAAAUUAUGAUCCCUUUUUUUAAGAUUAUAAGAUAAAAUUACCUUAGGGAUAACAGCGUAAUUUUUUUUGAGAGUUCUUAUCGAAAAAAGGAAUUGCGACCUCGAUGUUGGAUUAAAAUAAAUUUUUGGUGUAGAAGCUAAAUUAAUUAGGUCUGUUCGACCUUUAAAAUUUUACUUGAUCUGAGUU